UACGUAGGGGGCGAGCGUUGUCCGAAGUUACUGGGCGUAAAGCGCGCGUAGGCGGGUUGGCAAGUCUGCUGUGAAAGCCCGGGGCUUAACUCCGGAGGGUCGGUGGAUACUGCCAGUCUUGAAGGUGCUAGGGAGAGAUGGAAUUACAGGUGUAGCGGUGAAAUGCGUAGAUAUCUGUAGGAACACCAGUGGCGAAGGCGGCGCGCUGGACCACUACUGACGCUGAGGAACGAAAGCUAGGGGAGCAAACAGG
rnacentral:rRNA from 1 species